GCUUGGGUUUCGCAUCCUCAUCAUGUAGCGCCAGCCACACCAGGAACAGAAGGGUGCCGGGUACCUUCCGCAUGCUUGGUAUUCUCCCCGCGGGGCUCUGACCGCUGCCGCUCUCAGGCACCUGUCUUUCCUCUCCGUCCCAGAAUGGAGCCAAGACAAGGGAAUAAACGAAAUUCAAUAGUACACGGAGAUCGGGUGUCUGGGCAGCGUCUUGGAAAAACUAUCCACUACAGCAAUCAACAACACAGAAGACAACUUCUGCAACCCUAUCGGGAGAGGAGGGGUUCUCUCCACCACCAGAUUAUUCCUGACUAGUGAUAUAAAUAAAAUCUUUCCUGGUCCAGAAUUGGUGUUGAGCCUCUCAACAAAUCUUUGAGCCCUGAUUAUAUAUAAGGUAUUGUGCCAGGUGCAGUGGCUCACGCCUGUAAUCCCAGCACUUUGGGAGGCUGAGGUGGGCGGAUCACCUGAGGUCGGGAGUUCGAGACCAGCCUGACCAACAUGGAGAAACCCCGUCUCUACUAAAAAUACAAAAUUAGCUAGGCAUGUUGCCACGUGCCUGUAACCCCAGCUACUCGGGAGGCUGAGGCAGGAGAAUCAACUGAACCUGGGAGAUGGAGGUUGUGGUGAGCUGAGAUUACACCAUUGCACUCCAGCCUGGGCAACAAGAGCAAAACUCCAUUUCAAAAAAAAGAAGUAUUGUGCUAGAUAAAUAAAACAACAAAAAUGUGUAUGUAAAGUUUUUACUCUAAGAUGAAGGUUCUCAAACGUCAGUUUUCAUCACAGUCCCCUGGAAGAAUUCUCAAAACACAGAAUGCUUGCCAAGUCAAUCCUAAGCCAAAAGAACAAAGCUGGAGGCAUCACACUACCUGACUUCAAACUAUACUACAAGGAUGCAGUAACCAAAACAGCAUGGUACUGGUACCAAAACAGAGAUAUAGACCAAUGGAACAGAACAGAGCCCUCAGAAAUAAUGCCGCUUAUCUACAACCAUCUGAUCUUUGACAAACCUGACAAAAACAAGAAAUGGGGAAAGGAUUCCCUAUUUAAUAAAUGGUGCUGGGAAAACUGGCUAGCCAUAUGCAGAAAGCUGAAACUGGAUCCCUUCCUUACACCUUAUGCUAAAAUUAAUUCAAGAUGGAUUAAAGACUUAAAUGUUAGACCUAAAACCAUAAAAACCGUAGAAUAAAACCUAGGCAAUACCAUUCAGGACAUAGGCAUGGGCAAGGACUUCAUGUUUAAAACACCAAAAGCCAUGGCAACAGAAGCCAAAAUUGACAAAUAGGAUCUAAUUAAACUAAAGAGCUUCUGCACAGCAAAAGAAACUACCAUCAGAGUGAACAGGCAACCUACAGAAUGGGAGAAAAUUUUUGCAAUCUACUCAUCUGACAAAGGGCUAGUAUCCAGAAUCUACAAUGAACUCAAACAAAUUUACAAGAAAAAAACAACCCCAUCAAAAAGUGGGCAAACGAUAUGAACAGACACUUCUCAAAAGACGACAUUUAUGCUGCCAAAAGACACAUGAAAAAAUGCUCAUCAUCACUGGCCAUCAGAGAAAUGCAAAUCAAAACCACAAUGAGAUACCAUCUCACACCAGUUAGAAUGGCGAUCAUUAAAAAGUCAGGAAACAACAGGUGCUGGAGAGGAUGUGGAGAAACAGGAACACUUUUACACUGUUAGUGGGACUGUAAACUAGUUCAACCAUUGUGGAAGUCAGUGUGGCGAUUCCUCAGGGAUCUAGAACUAGAAAUACCAUUUGACCCAGCCAUCCCAUUACUGGGUAUAUACCCAAAGGAUUAUAAAUCAUGCUGCUAUAAAGACACAUGCACACGUAUGUUUAUUGUGGCACUAUUCACAAUAGCAAAGACUUGGAACCAACCCAAAUGUCCAAUAAUGAUAGACUGGAUUAAGAAAAUGUGGCACAUAUACACCAUGGAAUACUAUUCAGCCAUAAAAAAGGAUGAGUUCAUGUCCUUUGUAGGGACAUGGAUGAAGCCGGAAACCAUCAUUCUCAGCAAACUAUCGCAAGGACAAAAAACCAAACACCGCGUGUUCUCACUCAUAGGUAGGAACUGAACAAUGAGAACACAUGGACACAGGAAGGGGAACAUCACACGCCGGGGCCUGUUGUGGGGUGGGGGGAGCGGGGAGGGAUAGCAUUAGGAGAUAUACCUAAUGUUAAAUGACGAGUUACUGGGUGCAGCACACCAACAUGGCACAUGUAUACAUAUGUAACUAACCUGCACGUUGUGCACAUGUACCCUAAAACUUAAAGUAUAAUAAAGAAAAAAAAAACACAGAAUGCUGAGCCUUACUUCCAGAGUUUCUGAUUUAUGAAGUCUGAAUGGCGCCUGAGAAUGUGCAUUUCUAACAAGUUAGUAAUGCACCAACUAGGUGUUACCAAUGAUGAUAAUCUGGGGACCACUCUGAGCCCCUCUGCUCUAAGAAGAUACUUAACGUGUUCUUCAAAAAUGCCCAAAGAAGUAAAAGAGCAACGCUCAAAACUAGUUUGUUACAUACUUUUCUCUUUAAAAAACCUACCCAAAUGCUUUACAAAUACAGGAAAUAUAUCCACCUCCUAAGACAUUAAUACACCACAUACUUAGAACUUAGUAAUUAUAAAAUACACUAACUACACUGACUAGACUAUUCAAUGGUUGACCUGUGGUAUAUAUCCACAAUCAUCAAUAGAACUUUUUUCCCCCAAAUAUAGAAGGCCAAAUCCCAACCCUGGAAAUUCAAAUUAAAGGCUUGGCACAUCUGUUUAAAAAAUAAUAUCAACAUAAUCCUGAUGAGCACUCUUAGCUGUUUAAAGUCUAUGUUUCAUUUCUGAGUGCUUGUAAAAUUUACAGAUCCCUGAGUUCCAUCCCAAAAUUACCAAAUCAGAAUCUCUGGCGAAUGGGUCCCUGGGAAUCCAUAGAGCAACUAGACACUCAGGUGAUUUAACCACAGAAGUUUGAGAAACAUUAGCAGGUCUUAAAGCAAAAGCUUAACAGGUAGGCCAGCAAAUUUUGAAAAACGAGAAUAAUUUAUUUUUAGCUAUAACUGAAUACACAUCCUAUAACAUACCAUGUUUGUCAGGCAAAACACUGAAUAUAGUGAGUUUCACAAUACUAUGUAAUGUGAGGUAUAAUUGCUAAGAAUAAGAAGCUAGCAGUAAAAGUCAAUAAGCCAGCAAGAACAAGUGUGCGUUUAGUAAAACUUUGCCUUAAACACGUAAGUGCAUGAGUAGAGUUCAAAGAUGACCUAAGGAAGAAUGUGGCAACUGAAUUUUUUUCCAGUUCUCUGAAACAAUUUUUUAAAAGUCAGCUUUUAAUACCUUCAUGAAUGUCACAAACAUUCAAGAGUGAAGAAUCACUGUUCAUGGUUAAGAGCUGUGUAUCACUGACUUUCCCCAAAUUACCUACUCUAUCACUCUUCUUUCUCUGCAUUGCUUCCUUCUCAGCUUGUAAAUCCUUUUCUUUCUGUUUCCCUUAUUUAUAUGCUCUUAGAUGGUAACAGAUCUAAGACUAGAACCUAAGAAGGUCAGUGACCCUAAACUUUGUGUGUAUGUAGAAGAAUGUGUCCUUGAAAUAAUUAUUUGCUUAACUUUAAUAGAAGAUGCAUAAAUAAUAAUAAAGUACUUACAUAACAGGAAAAAACACAUGUAUUGAAAUAAGGGUGUACAAUAGAAAGCAUACCCUAAAGACUUCUUCUAUUAAAUAUUUAGCUCUAAACCUUGACCAUGAUUAAGAUUCUGGAAAUGACAAAGGAGCAGCUCUCCUAAAGCAAGAGUCUCUGUUUUCCAACUAUACUAAUCCAUCCUAUCCAAUAUUACCAAAUAAAUUUUCCAAAGUGACCUUCUGAUCCUGUUUCUUUGUCUUUAAAAAGGGUUAGGUAACACUAUUAGUGUGUGGCAGAUCUCAGAUUCCACCUGAGAAUCUCCACCCUUUUCCCCAUUUUAAUAUGAAGCCCCAUUUUUAAUAUGGCCUAUGCCUUUCCACAAAUCAGAUGCUCAAUAUAUAAUUUUUAAAUUAAAAGAUUCAAGAAAUUUGGGACUAUUUUUUAAGAAUAGAAGGAAGAAACAUGAUAGCUACCCUCAGAUAUUUGAAAAGGAUAUCAAACAAAAGGCGGAUUUGGUAAUUUAUACAACUCCAGAGAGUAAUAAAUAGGAAUUACAACAUGGCAGUGCUUUGUUUAAUAGAGUUAAAGCAGUGUUGAAGUUACACUCUAUGAGAAUUUUUAAAACCGUGUUUUCAUUUUGGUGGCAUUGUAAAAAAAGAAAAGGCAUAUUCUACAUCAUCUAAAUGAUCUCUCCAUAGUUCUGUAUACUUGCCUCAAGCCUUCUGUGUUUGAGGCUGCAUUUGUUUAUGAUCAAACUGUUACCAAAUGAC
rnacentral:lncRNA from 1 species